rnacentral:rRNA from 1 species
UACGGGGGGGGCAAGCGUUGUUCGGAAUUACUGGGCGUAAAGGGCUCGUAGGCGGCCAACUAAGUCAGACGUGAAAUCCCUCGGCUUAACCGGGGAACUGCAUCUGAUACUGGAUGGCUUGAGUUUGGGAGAGGGAUGCGGAAUUCCAGGUGUAGCGGUGAAAUGCGUAGAUGUCUGGAGGAACACCGGUGGCGAAGGCGGCAUCCUGGACCAACACUGACGCUGAGGAGCGAAAGCCAGGGGAGCAAACGGG